rnacentral:rRNA from 1 species
UACGAAGGGGGCUAGCGUUGUUCGGAAUUACUGGGCGUAAAGCGCGCGUAGGCGGAUUUGCAAGUCGGGGGUGAAAGCCCGAGGCUCAACCUCGGAACUGCCCUCGAUACUGCAAAUCUCGAGUCCGAGAGAGGUGAGUGGAAUUCCUAGUGUAGAGGUGAAAUUCGUAGAUAUUAGGAAGAACACCAGUGGCGAAGGCGGCUCACUGGCUCGGUACUGACGCUGAGGCGCGAAAGCGUGGGGAGCAAACAGG